rnacentral:rRNA from 1 species
CCUACGGGUGGCAGCAGUGAGGAAUAUUGGUCAAUGGGCGGGAGCCUGAACCAGCCAAGCCGCGUGAAGGAUGAAGGCGCCAGGCGUCGUAAACUUCUUUUGUCGGGGAACAAAGGGCGCCACGUGUGGCGUUGUGAGUGUACUCUAUGAAUAAGCAUCGGCUAACUCCGUGCCAGCAGCCGCGGUAAUACGGAGGCUGCGAGCGUUAUCCGGAUUUAUUGGGUUUAAAGGGUGCGUAGGGGGUCGGGAAAGUCAGCGGUAAAAGCCCGGGGCUCAACCCCGGCGAGCCGUUGAAACUGUCGGACUAGAGACGGGGAGAAGUACGCGGAAUGCGCGGUGUAGCGGUGAAAUGCAUAGAUAUCGCGCAGAACUCCGAUUGCGAAGGCAGCGUACCGACGGCGGACUGACGCUGAGGCACGAAAGCGUGGGUAUCAAACAGGAUUAGAUACCCUAGUAGUC